rnacentral:rRNA from 1 species
UACGAAGGGGGCAAGCGUUGUUCGGAAUUACUGGGCGUAAAGGGCGCGCAGGCGGCCGAUCAAGUCAGAUGUGAAAGCCCCGGGCUCAACCUGGGAAUAGCAUUUGGGACUGGUCGGCUAGAGUUCGGGAGAGGAGAGUGGAAUUCCCAGUGUAGAGGUGAAAUUCGUAGAUAUCGGGAAGAACACCCGUGGCGAAGGCGGCUCUCUGGGACGGUACUGACGCUGAGACGGCGAAAAGCGUGGGGAGCGAACAGG